UCUCUACAUCCAACGUGGGGUUCAAAUUCAUGACCCCAAGAUCAAGAGUUGCUUGCUCUUCUGACUGAGCCAGCCAGGUGUCCUGUUAGUAUUCCUGAAAGUUAAAAAAAAAAAUACCUGCCUCAGAACCAGCUAUUCUAGUCCAAAAAAAAUACUAAAGAGAAAUGAAUGCCAAAAGGCAUGUACAAAAAUGUAACAGCCCUAUUCAAAACAGUCCAAACUGGAAACCAUGCAAAUGUCCAUGAACAUUGCAGUGGAUAAAUACAUUGUGGCAUAUUCCCACAGCUGAACAGUCUACAGUGAUGAGAAUGGUCAGCCACACCCAGUAACUUGGGUGAAUGAUACUGGGUGAGGGAAUUGGCACUAGUGCACAUCUUGUAUGAUUCCAUUUACAUGAUGUUCUAGAACAGGCACACCUCUAGGACAUUAGCCCCAGGAACAGUGGUUGAAUUUUGGGGAUAGAUACCACUGGGAAUGAUGUGAGUCUGUGGGGUCUAGAAAAGCUAUUGCAGUGUGGCGUGAACAAGUGUGAAAGUUCAUCAUGUGCACACUAGGAGCCAGCCCCACGUGGGGAGCAUCUGUGGGUGUGGUGGACCCCACAGACCUGGUGCAGUGACGGGGGGGUGUGUGUCACACUGCAGCCUGUGGCCUUCCACCAGCUACCUCCCCAGCUUAUCCUAUUUCCUCCCUCCAGAGCCACUAGGGCUCCAGAGGCUUUUUUUAGGCCAGUGGCUUUCUGCCUGCUUCCAGAUCAGGUGCUAAUACCACAAAGGUUUGGUGGGCACCUCCUCCCCCAAGCUCCCAAGGACUGUCUCAGGAACUGGUCCUCCAAGAGGAAGUCUGGGGCCUUGUUCUCUGUGAGUCUGUGGGCCUGGGUGGUGCAGUCAAUCAUCUGACACUUGGUUUGAGCUCAGGCCAUGAUCUCAGUUGUGAUAUCAAGCCCUGCAUUGGGUUCCAGUCUCAGGGCAGAGUCUGCUUGAGAUUCUGUCUGUCCUUCUCCCUCUGCCCCUCCUGCUUGAGCACUCUUGUUGUCUCUCAAAUAAAUAAAUCCUUAAAAAAAAGUUAUGCUUAUACUAUAGUCUAUUAAGUAUGCAAUAGUAUUGUCUAAAAAAUGUAUGUACCUUAAUUAAAAAGUCAGAGCCACCAUCGGAGCUGUGUGUCAUAAUCACUGAUCACAGAUCACAUAACAAAUUUAACAAUAAUGAAAAAAGUCUGAAUUAUUGCGAGAAUUACCAAAAUUGACAGAGACACAAAGUGUGCAAAUGCUGUUGGAAAAAUGAUACCAACAAAUGUGCUCGAUACAGGGUUGACAGAAACCUUCAAUUUGUAAGAAACAAACAUCUGUGAAGUGCAAUAAAGCAAAGCACAAUAAAAUGAAGUGUGCUUGUAUUCAUCCAAGAGAAAUAAAAACAUGUCCACAAAAUAAUUUGUGCAAGAAUAUUCACAGUCUUGUCAUUAAAGCUGGAAACAGUGCUGGUGACUAUCAAUAGGAAAAGGAGGGAGUAAAGUGGAGUAUAUGGAAAUAAUGGACUACUGUUCACCCAGAAAAAGGAAUGAACUGAUCUGUACACUGAUAACUGGUGAAUCUCACAAACAUGCUGAGCCGAAAGCCAGACACAAAGAGCACAUACUGUAGGAUUCCAUUUAUAUGAAAUACCAGAACUGGCAAAAAUACGUGUGAUAGAAAUGAGAACCUUGGUUGCCAGGGGCCAAGGAUGGGGGGAUUGUCUAGGGAUUUUCUGGGCUAACAGAAUAGGGAUAUGGGCCAUAUGGGUGUACUUGCCAAACUGAACUGUUUAUGUAAGAUUUGUAUAUCCCACUACGUGAAAAUAUCUCAACAAAAAUAUUCUUAAAAAAAAUUCACUGGUCAGAAGUAAAAGCUAAAGAGAUCUUCAGGAUCAAACAUAGCUUCCAUCACAUAGGCAGCCUUUUGCAAACCUAGAUCUCUAGGAAGCAGCACCAAAUUCCUUCUAAGAUUCAUUUUGUGCAGAGGUAUUCCAAUUGAAGUAAUGAGCCAACUGUGAAGACACCAUUCAAGAGGGAAGUGAAGGAAGUCUUGCAGAAAGCCUAUUUGCUUUGCUGACAGUUUAACCUCACUGUUUGGCUUGGGUGGAGUCCUGGUCAGGCACUCCCAUUGAGUAAACAAGAAGACUGUUGGCUGCCCAAGGAAAUUUGGAGGGUGGGGAGGAAAGGUCAGUGUCCCCUUUCUCAGGGUUUUUCAGUUCUCCUGCUUUCUUCCAGGCAACCUUUAAUUAUUCGGUAGGCAAUUGAGAGCCCCUCUUCAGGAGCCCAGAACUUGCAGACCCCUGAGGUUCCACAGCAGACCUGACCCCUCUUGGCCCACAGGUCCAAGGGGUGGCCAUGAUGAGACUGGGAAAAGUCUAAGGCUGGCCUAUUUUGUUGAACCCCUUUGCUCUGAAGAAGCCCUUUAGUUCAACGUAGCCCUGCUUGUUAAUUUUGCUUUUGGAAUCAGAUCCAAAAGAUCAUGGCUAAGGCCAAGGCCAAGGAGCUGAUCAGACUUAUGUUUUCUCCUGGGAGUUUUAUGGUUUCAGGUCUUCUGUUCAAGUCUUUAGCCUAUUUUGAGUUAAUUUUUAUGUCUUGUGAAAUAGUCCACUUUCAUUCUUCUGCACGUGGCUGUCCAGUUUUCCCAACACCAUUUAUUGGAUAGACUUGUCCUUGCUUAGAGAUUAAUUGACCAUAUAAUUGGAGGUUUCUUUCUGGGCUCUCUAUCCUGCUCCAUUGAUCUUUGUUUUUGUGUCAGUCCCAUAUGAUGUGGGAAAGAAAGGCAAAAGAAAGGAGUAUGGAUAGUAUGGACAUUUUAAAUUUCCUUCCUACUCACAGCUGAUUGACAAGUCCUUGAAACAGGGAGCGUGACCUUCCUCUUAGAGCUCAGCUGCCUCCAUGUUGCCACUUCACUAAGGGCAAAAGGCAAUCUUAGCCCGACACCUCAGGAUCCUGUAAGUCUACUUUAAUAUAUUAGUUCAUUUGGCAACUUCCUUUAUCUCUACCCAUUGCCACCCCCACCCUGAUAAAUGUUAGCAAUCAUCCCCCAACAUAUGGCCCACUGAUACCAUCUGAAGAGUGAGGGGUUCCUAAACAGUAAUAGAUGACUUUUUCCUAACAAUAGCUAGCCCCCUCAGGAUCCUGAAAACCUUGUUUUCAAAAUACCUUGGAGGCUUGUGUUACAACUAACCCCCUCCUGACUUGAAAGUAUAUAAUCAGCCGCUCCUCAUGACCCCAGUGCAGCUCUUUCUGCAUACAGGUCUGUCCCCAUGCUUUAAUAAAACCAUCUUCUGGCACCAAAGAUGUCUCAAGAAUGCUUUCUUGGCUACUGGCUCCAAAUCCCACCAGUUCAAACCACAUCACCAUACUGUUUUGAUUAUUAUAGCUUUGUAACAUAGUUUGAAAUCAGGACUUUGUUCUCUAGCUAUGUUCUUCUUUCCCAAGAUUGCUUUUUGGUUGUUUGGGAUCUUUUGUGUUUCCAUACAAAUUUGAGGAUUGUUUUUUCUGUGAGAAAUCUUGUUGGAGGCAUUGCAUUGAAUCUAUAGUAUGGACAUUUUAACAAUAUUAAUCUAACUAAUAAACAUGGAAUAUCUUUCCAUUUAUUUCUUUUCUUCAAUUUCUUUCAUCAAUGUCUUACAGUUUUCUCUGUAUAGGUCUUUCAAAAGCUUUUGCACAGCAAAGGAAAUCAUCAACAACACAAAAAGGCAACCUACUGAAUGGGAGAAAAUAUUUGCAAAUAAUAUUUGAUAAGAGUUAAUAUUGAAAAUAUAUAAAGAAAUCAUACGACUCAAUAGCAAAAAAGACAAAUAAACCUAGGAAUAAACCUAAACAAAGAGGUAAAGGAUCUAUACCCUAAAAACUAUAGAACACUUCUGAAAGAAAUUGAGGAAGACACAAAGAGAUGGAAAAAUAUUCCAAGCUCAUAGAUUGGCAGAAUUAAUAUUGUGAGAAUGUCAAUGUUACCCAGGGCAAUGUACACGUUUAAUGCAAUCCCUAUCAAAAUACCAUGGACUUUCUUCAGAGAGUUAGAACAAAUUAUUUUAAGAUUUGUGUGGAAUCAGAAAAGACCCUGAAUAGCCAGGGGAAUUUUAAAAAAGAAAACCAUAUCUGGGGCAUCACAAUGCCAGAUUUCAGGCUGUACUACAAAGCUGUGGUCAUCAAGACAGUGUGG
rnacentral:lncRNA from 1 species